rnacentral:rRNA from 1 species
CGUCAAAGCUUAAUUUAAUUAUAAAAUAAUCCCCCAACCCCAUUGGAACCCCUCAACAGUACUAAAUAAUCCUAUAUCUUUAUAGGACAUUUCAUGCUAAAACUAGUAACGAGAAGAAACCUUCUCCUAUAUGCAAGUGUAAAUCAGAACAGAAGACCUACUGAUUCUUAACAAUCAUAAAUAAUAGUAUAAUAAAUUAAAAACCCCCUACUCAAACAAUUGUUAACCUAACACAAGAGCAUAUGAAGAAAGAUUAUAAAAAAAAGAAGGAACUCGGCAAAUUAUGAUUCCGCCUGUUUACCAAAAACAUCGCCUCCUGCUAACCUACAGGAGGUCCAGCCUGCCCAGUGACCUAGUUUAACGGCCGCGGUAUCCUAACCGUGCAAAGGUAGCGUAAUCACCUGUUUUUUAAUUGAAGACCUGUAUGAAAGGCAUCACGAGAAUCGCACUGUCUCCUUUAUUCAAUCAGUGAAACUAAUCUCCCCGUGAAAAAGCGGGGAUGUCUAUACAAGACGAGAAGACCCUUUGGAGCUUAAGACAAAGUAACGUUCUGUGUCACUUUUAACCUACCUCCUCUAACACUUACAUUACAAGUCUUCGGUUGGGGCAACCACGGAGUAAAACUCACCCUCCAAGUUGAACGGAAUUUUCCUAAACAGUAAGCAACAACUUUAUGUAUCAACAAAUUGACAUUUAUGACCCAUUUUUUGAUUAUCGAACCAAGUUACCCUAGGGAUAACAGCGCAAUCCACUUCAAGAGUUCAUAUCGACAAGUGGGCUUACGACCUCG